rnacentral:tRNA from 1 species
GGAUGUAGUUCAGUGGUAGAACAGUUGCCUUGCAUGCAUGAGGCCCUAGGUUCAAACCCUAGUACCA